rnacentral:rRNA from 1 species
AUUGAACGCUGGCGGCAUGCUUUACACAUGCAAGUCGAACGGUAGAGGGGGCAACCCCUUGAGAGUGGCGAACGGGUGAGUAAUGCAUCGGAACGUGCCCAGUCGUGGGGGAUAACGCAGCGAAAGCUGUGCUAAUACCGCAUACGAUCUCUGGAUGAAAGCGGGGGACCGAAAGGCCUCGCGCGAUUGGAGCGGCUGAUGUCAGAUUAGGUAGUAGGUGGGGUAAAGGACCACCAAGCCGACGAUCUGUAGCUGGUCGGAGAGGACGACCAGCCACGCUGGGACUGAGACACGGCCCAGACUCCUACGGGAGGCAGCAGUGGGGAAUUUUGGACAAUGGGCGAAAGCCUGAUCCAGCAAUGCCGCGUGCAGGAAGAAGGCCUUCGGGUUGUAAACUGCUUUUGUACGGAGCGAAAAGGUCCUUUCUAAUACAAGGGGCUCAUGACGGUACCGUAAGAAUAAGCACCGGCUAACUACGUGCCAGCCGCCGCCGUAA